CAUCACUACGCUAGAUGCAUAUCAUAAGCGGAGGAAAAGAAACUAACAAGGAUUCCCUUAGUAACGGCGAGUGAAGCGGGAAGAGCUCAAAUUUGAAAUCUUCAAGGUUCUACCUUGACGAAUUGUAGUUUAUAGAAGUGUUUUCUGUUGAGUUCGAGUGGAAAAGUUCUUUGGAAUAGGACAUCAUAGAGGGUGAGAAUCCCGUAUUUGGUCAUUCUUUCUAGCUUUGUGAUACACUUUCAACGAGUCGGAUUGUUUGGGAAUGCAGUCCAAAAUGGGUGGUAAAUUUCAUCUAAAGCUAAAUAUUGGCGAGAGACCGAUAGCGAACAAGUACCGUGAGGGAAAGAUGAAAAGAACUUUGAAAAGAGAGUUAAACAGUACGUGAAAUUGUCAAAAGGGAAGCGUUUGACACCAGUGUUGUUUAGUUGAAAAUCAAUUCAAUAAUUUUUGAUUUUGAGUAGUAUUGACUUCAUCAGCUUGCUGCUUUCUUUUCGGAAAUUAUUGAAUGCACUUUUCAGUUAACAAGUCAACAUCAAUUUCUUUUGUUGUAAAAGGGUAAGAGGAAGGUGGCUUACGCUUCGGCGUAAGUGUCUAUAGCCUUUUACCUCUGCAAUCGGAGAGAUUGAGGACAGCAGCGUAGACUCCUUCGGGGGUUAGAUACACUUGUGCUAAGCUAUAGCCUUGUAUAGACAACUUGUUGACUAUGCUCAGUCAUGUAGCUUACUCGCUUGUGCUAUUUUACCUACGCUUAGGAUGUUGAAGAUAUGCGCGACACG
rnacentral:rRNA from 1 species